UUGGUGUUCUACCUUACAGUGAGC
rnacentral:miRNA from 1 species